rnacentral:lncRNA from 1 species
GGACCUUCCAUAAUUGAUUUUCGUUGACAAUAAUCUUAAGAAAAUCUGAAUUUGAAAUCCUGAAUAGAAACCUCCACAACGACAAAAUCCAACUCAAUAGCAAGAAAUAACAGUCUGGAAAGAUUCAAAACCAGUGAGAAAGAACUAUUAAGAUCAAACCCGAAUCACAAACGUUAACACAAUUUAAGCACGUAGACCCCAAAGCCCUAUAUCGAAAAUAAACCGCAAAGAUAGAUGAACCCAAAACCCAGCAGCACAACAUAAAAUCAAAACCUAGUGUAGCCUGAGCUCCGGUGAGCUCCGACGAUUGUAUAAAAUGAUGGUGCAAUACAGAUUCUGACGAAUUUCAGUACUUUCGGGCCAUAUUUGCUUGAAAAUCAAAAGAAACAAGGAGAUUUCAGGGAUUUUGAGACUGGGUCGGAUCUAUUCAGCGUACCGGAGCUAAUUUUGGCGAAUAAUUUCUUUGGAAACUUGAAAACUCCACCGGGAAAACUUGAAGAUCGACCGAAAUCCAGUGAUCGUUUCACCGGAUCCCUCUCCAGUCUCCCCAUCUUGAUCACCUCUUUUUUUCCCUAUUUUUCACUGUUUUGCUCUAUUUCUCCCCUCUCCGUCCCAUGUGUUGUGAGUUUGUGUGUCUGAGUGUGUAUUAAGAGUGAAUUUCAGUGUGUGUGUCUAAUUUUGUGUGAAGAUGACAUUUUUUUGGAGCCUCUCCCGUCAAAGAAGGCACCCGAUGAUGGUGCUCCUUUUUUUUCUCUCCGUCCCUCCCCUGAGAAUGUGUAUGUG